rnacentral:rRNA from 1 species
UACGUAGGGGGCUAGCGUUGUCCGGAUUCAUUGGGCGUAAAGCGCAUGCAGGCGGCUUGGUAAGUCAUCGGUGAAAUCCCUCGGCUCAACCGGGGGGGGUCCGGCGAAACUGCCAGGCUUGAGGUCGGGAGGGGGAAGCGGAAUUCCGGGUGUAGUGGUGGAAUGCGUAGAUAUCCGGAGGAACACCAGUGGCGAAGGCGGCUUCCUGGCCUGUUCUUGACGCUGAGGCGCGAAAGCUAGGGUAGCAAACGGG